AGGAGGGUAAAGCCCAAGAAAUGGAGACAAAAAUGUGGCCAAAACAGUUGAGCUGGGCCGAACCGGGUCCCAGGAUCCACUCCACUUCCAAAACCUGGUUCAGUAACAAAAACCCUAAAUUCACCACUCUAAUCUCCUUCACUCAAUCGAUCCCCUUAUUCCUCUCUUGCCGUCUGCAUUUUCUCCCCUCCAUGUUCACACUUCUGUUAACGAAAACAAGGAAACGAAACAAGUAUACUCUAUCUCUCAUCAGCGACAAACCAACACACAAGCAUCAGUUAAAAAACAAAACCCUAAUCCCCAAAUACCCCAUUCUCAUUAUUUCGGUUAUUUUUAUUGAAUUAUAUAAGUUACUAGUUACUUAUCUAUUUUCUUGAUUUUUUAUAGGCGAUGCCUUAGUUUUUUCAGAUUUUGGUACACAGUGGUUAGUCUUUUAUUUCAAUAGUUAUAGCUGUAUGAAUUUUUUAUAUAUAAAAAAAAUUAUAUCCAUGAAUAAUUCCAUGAAAUCAUUAAAACCCGUUUUAGUCAAUGGUGGCUGAGAAGAAGAUUUUUCGCCAAAAGUAAAGGCUGAGAAGAAGAUUUUUCGCCAAAAGUAAAGGAGUAAAAGGAAGAAUACUCUGAGUAAUAAACAGGGAAGCAGUGUUUUUUUGUCAAUUCUCCUUCUCAAUCUCCUCUUCUUCAACCACUUCAAUUCUCUUUCUCAAUCUCCUCUUCUUCAACCACUUCCACAAUCACCUGCCAAAUAUUUUUUAACACCCUUUCUCCAACAAUCAUUUUCUUUUUUUUUUCUUCAUCCUCAAUGCGCUGUUCAGUUCUUCAUCCAUUUUUUUUUAUUGUUUUUCCUCAGUUAGUUUAUCCAAGUCUUUGUUUUUGUCUUAUUUCUCGGUUUCUUCUUUCUUUUCCUCUUCUUAUUUUUUGCAAAAAUUUUCUUCUUAGCCACCCUUGUUAAAAUCUCGGCGAUAGCUUUUGAUUAUGAACCUUUGCAUCAAUAAUUUCAUGGAAUUAAGUUUUUUUUUUUUUUUGUAAAAUAGAUAAGUUCAUAUGACUUUAACUUUCAAAAUGAUAAACUAAUCACUAUAUAUCAAAAUCAAUAAUGAAACAACAUGCUCUCCCAUGUUAAUUUGGGUCUAAUGUUGCAAAUACUGCUAUGGAUUUUAAUUUGUUUGUAUGUUCUGCAUAUAUUCAUGCUCUUCCAUAUUAAUUUGGGUCUAAUGCUGCAAAUAUCUAUGGCUCUGAUCUACCUAUUGUAUGUGCUGCAUAUAUUCAUGCUCUCCCAUGUUUGUUUGUAUACAUAUAUCCAUGCUUUCCCAUGUUUAUUUCGGACCUUAAUUUGUUUGUAUGUUUUGCCUAUAUCUAUGCUCUCUCAUGUUAAUUGAAUCUACUGUAUUAUUUCAAUAAACUUGAUUUUAGAUCAAUUUCAUAAUUUAGUAUAUGUAUUUGGUAGAUUCAAUUAUGACAUUGCAGGAAGGGAUAAGAUAAAAUAAUUAAGAUGUCAAAUAUUCACCUAGCAUUUAUUAAAUGGAAAAUAACAAACAGGACUUACGACCUUCAAAAUCACGUACCAAAAUUAACUACCAAACUACUAGUGAAACAUUAAUACAUUUCAUCAUAUUAUACUAUAUUGUGUUAUAUAUAAGUGCCACGAGUAAUUUGUUUAAUGAAGUUGGUUCAGCCUUUGAGCAAAUUAUGAGCACUAUGUUAUGGCAUUUCAGGCACAAUAACAUAGUGUUGAGUAAUAGGGAAGGAGUGGACCCAAUUCGAUGAUGAUCUGCUACCACCGUCAACAAGUCCGAUAACAUUCCUCUCAUUCGAGCUAGGUUCCAUCCUCACCCCCAAUUAUCCCGGUUUCAGGAGGUUAAAACCUCCUUAUCGGUUAUAAUAGGGUGUGGAAAGUGAAUGAGUCCUCUCAAAGUAUUAAUAUACUCAAAUUUUCCAAUUGUCUCUAAUGUGUCAGGGUCUAUUACUAUGGACCUCUUUUUGUGAACCUCUUUUUGUGUCUCUGUGAGACAAACCACCCUCCCAUUGCCGAGCUUCACUACACAUUUCUUUGAUAAACUGAAUUGAUUACACCCUUGCUUUUUUUGUGUAAGCCUAUGACCUAUUUAAUGGAAUUUUGCUAUGAAGUUAUCAAUAUCUUAGGGCUAUGUCAGAGGUGAUUUGAUUAAUUAACUUCAUUAUGCUGUCCUGCUGUGAUUUUCUUCUUAUCUGUAUUUUAUAAACAUCUUAUUUAUCAUUAUAAUUGGUCAAAUGAUUCUGAGAUUUUCUCUAUGCAGGUGUAAAUUCCUAAGGUGAUUGAAACACUUAAUUUCAUUCUAAUGAAAUCUAGAUGUUAAAGGGCCAUUUACUUUUUUGUUUAUCUUAUCUUUGAAUUUUGUUUCUAUCUUCUUCCUUUCUAAAUUUUCAUUCCCUUCUCUUUGUUAAUGUUACGUAAUUUCUAUAUAAUUUUCUUUUUUUAUUGGUCAAGAAAAUUAAGUGAUAGAUUGGAGAGGUCAUUUGUGCAGUUUCUUGGAAUUUUUCAUCAAUUGAUUCAACUUGUUUUUUUAUUCUUUUUUCUUAAAAAAAAAGUAAACAGGAGAAUUCAAUGUUUGACUCGCCAUUCGAUUUCAAUUUAGAAGAAAAAGUUGAUUAAUUGUCAUCUGCACAGUGAAUCUUUAAGUGUGCUUAAUUUCUUCAAGACUUGAAAAAACUUUUUUUUUUCUUUUCUAUCUGCAUUGUAUGAUGUAUGAAACAUGAAAUUUUUGGUUAAUGUUUGCACUGAUUCUGUAAUUCUUUUAUGCAGAAAAUGUCAAAUCUGUGCAGAAGAAUGAACUUGUAGAGAUUAUAGUUGAGAUGUUGGCUAGAUUCUUAGUUAUUAAUUGUACGAUGCAGGAAUUGGAGCGACAUAAGUAGCUUCAAGCACAAGCUAAAGAUAAUUGGAAAAUGUAAUGCUUGGUCCUGACUAUGAUAUUCUUGAUAGUUACGACAAUACCGUUAACAACGGAAUUGGUUUUGUUUCACUUGAAAUAGAUAGUUGGAGACAAACAAUGGUAGCGAUUUCGAGUAAAAAUCUAAAACACAGAUGGAUGUGAAGUGCAUCUAGGGAUAAUAAUUGUAGAAGAGAAGAUCAAAGGAAAGCUGGGACAAUAUUUGCUGCUAUUUGUGUUAGUUUUAUCCUCAGUCCACAUAUGUUUUUUUCUCAGUCCACAUAAAAGCAUAAUCAAGUGAAAAGGGAUUAAGGGACCAAGAAGAUCUUACUCAACCUUCAAUUUCAUUUCACUAUAUUAACAAUCAAAUGGGUCAAACCAGUUCCUUUCACGAUGAAAAGCAUGUACCAAUUAUAUAUUUUGUUUCGUAGAGUAACCAUGCUUUCAAUUUUGAAGGGUUUCUCAUGGCUUUCAUGUUAUGUACCCGUUGGAUGCAAGUGACACAAUCAGGAUGCAAGUGACAUGAUCAGACAAAGAAACAUAGAUUAAAGGCUCUUCUGAUGCUACGACGAGCGUGUCAUGCUACGACGAGCGUGUCAGUGCGGUGAAGCGAUAAAGACCUACAAAAUUAGCAAACUCUCAUGUCAGUGAAGUCAAAGAGAAAUAUUGCGUACGAGUGACGAAGGUGGCCGGUGCAUCAGUUAUGGGGAUCAAGUGUUUGACUCAUUGACGAGGGAUGUAAAUCAAGUUUCAAAGAUUAUUUUAAAAGGAGUAUGCUUUCAAACGUACUAGCCAGGCAGGUUCCGGUGUUCUCUUUGGAGCAUCUGGCAGUUAACUUCCUUAACAUUCAAAUUCAAAUACUCUCAACAACAAAAAGAGUUAUGGUUAGCAGGUUACAAAAGGUUGUGGUCAGGCCACUCUGUACCAGGCUUCGAGUUUGACAGCAGAAUAUGUUAUUUUGACCUCAAGAUUGGUUCGAAAAUAAUAAUUACAGUUUAGAAAUAAUUGAUCAAAGUUUGUCUUUUAACAUAACUGUUAUUACAUUACUCCAUAAUAAAAGUGAAUCGCGAAAUAACAGGUUUAGCUGAAACAAUAUGUGCAAAGUGAAUUGCUAUAUUGGCGAUAAGUUUCUACAACUUCGACAUGGAAAGUCUGGGUGGCCUACAAACAAACUGGCCAUACUACUACACAAGAUAAAACACAUAACAUAGAAUAUUGAAUCAUUGGUGGAAAACCAAAGGCAGUGAUUUGGUUUUAAAUUAAAGCAGUAAUGUAAUGCAAGUUAAAUUGGUGGGACACAAGUAUAAUUUUCACCA